GAUGAACGCUGGCGGCGUGCCUAAUACAUGCAAGUCGAGCGAACGGACGAGAAGCUUGCUUUUCUGAUGUUAGCGGCGGACGGGUGAGUAACACGUGGAUAACCUACCUAUAAGACUGGGAUAACUUCGGGAAACCGGAGCUAAUACCGGAUAAUAUUUUGAACCGCAUGGUUCAAAAGUGAAAGACGGUCUUGCUGUCACUUAUAGAUGGAUCCGCGCUGCAUUAGCUAGUUGGUAAGGUAACGGCUUACCAAGGCAACGAUGCAUAGCCGACCUGAGAGGGUGGUCGGCCACACUGGAACAGAGACACGGUCCAGACUCCUACGGGAGGCAGCAGUAGGGAAUCUUCCGCAAUGGGCGAAAGCCUGACGGAGCAACGCCGCGUGAGUGAUGAAGGUCUUCGGAUCGUAAAACUCUGUUAUUAGGGAAGAACAUAUGUGUAAGUAACUGUGCACAUCUUGACGGUACCUAAUCAGAAAGCCACGGCUAACUACGUG
rnacentral:rRNA from 1 species